rnacentral:tRNA from 1 species
CGGCCGGUGGUGCAGCGGGAAGCACGUAUGCCUCUCACGCAUGAGACGCGAGUUCGAACCUUGCUCGGCCGA